UCAUCUGGUAACAAAUAUUGGCGGAUGCUUUGUUUUAGUGCCUGCUUCCCUGCAAACUAUGUGCAAACAGUGAAUAAGGUAUCGAUUUAACUGCAAUGGGUUGCAUCAAUCAUCUUGAGAUUUGUACACAGAAGGUAGGGUCUGACAGAGUCACAAUAAGGAAAAGGCCUUCAAUAGUUGAAGGAUUUUACGAGGAGCACCAGGAAGGAUGCUGGGCAGCAGCUCCCUGGUGUGAAGGGCUUUGGGGGAAUGAGGAGAGCAUUAGCUGCCAUGAGCUGUUGAGACAGAGUAACUUGGAUUCCACACACUCUGCAAACUUCCAGGUGUGUAGUUAUUUACGGCAAAUGGGAGAGGCUACUAUUGUGGCCUGAAGUCAGAGGCAAGGAUGGUUUAAAGUAGCAGAAACCAGGCCAGUGACGGUGGCCACCGACAGGCGUUUUCUGAGCAUCCAGGAUGUGCCGUGCGCUGCACAGUCACUGGUUUCCUGAGGCCUCCCCAGAAGCACAUGCUGCUAUGUUUCCCGUAUAGCUUGUGGAACGGCCUUGGAUACAGGAGAUGCCCCAUUACGGCCCUUGGGUGAUGGCUGUCAUGGGCACUGCGUCCUUGGAUGGAGCGUGACUUUCUUUGGGAUGUAUAACACAUAUUCUGUGUAUCUUGUACUCCUUGUCCUUUUCUCCCAUCUUUAAAUUAUAACCUCAGAAAAGUCUAGUGUAAGGUCAGAGGUUUCACAUUUUUCUCUUGGCCUUGCUUCUCUUUAAUAACUGGAAUCCCAGUUCCACCUCCAGGCAAUUGUGUUGCUCCUGCUGAAGACCUCCAGGGAAUGAAAGGCUGUGCAGGGGCUGGGCUGGGCUUGGAGACGGCAUGUUGCAGAGUUAAUUUUAGGAGUUCUUUUCUUAAAUUAAGCAUCUACGCUGGCAUUUUUUUUUUCUGUUUCAGUGAUUGUGACCUGGGUACACCAACCCAGCCUUUGAUCUGUGUAAAGUGAAAACAGGUAUAUGAAUAUACAAACACAACAAAGGCUUGUCUUUGGGGGAAAGCUCUGCUAAAAUGUGCAUGCACCUAAACCAUAAGCGAAACUAUGUAAUUGACAAGUUGUCACAAUUAUGGUUGGUAAGAGAGAAAUUAUAUAUCUAAAAUGUAAUUAAAAUGCUCCUUGUAAGCUUUGAUGACAAGUUCUUGGAGACCAAGAAGGAAAUAAUCUCAGUCAAACCAACCGAUCUGGUUUACAGGUCUUGUCAAUAGAAAAUAGGAGACAUUUUUCUUUUGAGACGAUGAACCCAAGUAUAUCCCACAUCGUCAAUAGGUGACAAUUUUUAGCAAGCGACAACACAAAUGAAUUAAGACAAUUUGUAUAGACUCUUGGGUAAUUAGGAAGCCAUUUAUUGACGACUCAGUGUGAUGCAUAGGCACAUACUGAUUUUUUAAUAAAGCAAUUAUAUCAUUCUGGUAACUCUGCCACCUCAGUCGUUCGGAACCUUAUAAUUAUUUCUUUUACUCUUCUGCACUGUAUGUGGCUAUAGUUCAUAAUUGUAUUAGCCCCAGCAGAAUUUGGAGAUGAGUUAUAAAAGCUAAAUGCAAA
rnacentral:lncRNA from 10 species